GCCAUUUCUUUUUUUGCAUGCCGAAUCAAUGUGCACGCAACUUUGGAGCUACGAUCUUUUUCUGAAUGAACAGCUUCAUCAACACAUGUAACUAGGUUGUCAAACUAAUAUCUGGGAUAGACGGAAAAGACACCAAAAGUCUCCGAUUCCGAUUGACUAACUCAUCUCUCUCUCUUCUGUUUUUUUUUUUUUUUUUUUUUUUUUUUUUUUUUUGUGAAAACGACGUGGAUGCACGUGCUGUCGUGCCUCCGGGUAGCUACGCCC
rnacentral:lncRNA from 1 species